rnacentral:lncRNA from 1 species
CUGGCCUCCGAUGAUGUACUGGCUCACUUCUUCAAUGAUUUCCUUAGUGCGCCGUCUUUCCCAGAGGCUUUGCGGUACAACCGGGAGACAGGGAUGUUUGAGAUGGCGAGUAGAGCGGCAGCGUUUGUGUCCACAAGAAUCCGAUCAGCCCUUUACAACAGAAAAUCACAGCUUCUUACUGGUGACCCGUCACUGCUCACCAAAAUGCCCCCAAUAGACAAUCAUUACACUGUCUGUUGCCUGGACAGACAGCAAGGAAUGCAGUGGAUCAAAAAGGAAAGGUUGCCCUUUUUCCUUCAAAGUGAUUGCUAUCAUGAAUACAGACUAGCCAAGCUUCUGCUUCAGUGGGACCCAAACUUGUGUAUUCACAGAAGGAAAAGCAGUUCAGUUCGGACCACCCUGUCAGCCCCUCAACUGCGUUCCUUAAAAUUAAACACGGGGUUUAUGAGCACACACGAUCUUACAUGUCUAACAUCUCUGCAAAAGGAACAAAUUAUUCCAAAAAGCAGUGACUCAUCCAGAUGUUACUCCAGCUGGUCUGAGCCAGAAAGCCUGUGUUCCUUUCCCCCUUUGUCCUCAUCAGGUUUCUCCUCUGCUCACCUUCAAAGUGGGGAACUUAAGAGCUCACAAACAGAGCUGGGUGUCUGCUCUGGGCUAUCAUCUGUUAGUAAAGAGAAACACCUAAAAGAGAUCAGUAGCCUGGCAUCUCAUUCUCCCGAACAACAGUCGGAGUACCUGGCUGUCCAAGUGACUGAACAGGUGCUUAAAGACACGAUGAAUGUAACGGAUAGUCCAAACCAGGCAGACACUUGUGAGUGUUUCAGCAAGUCAGGAGAUCAGGCAAACUGUAGCAGCACAGACAGAUCCUGUAAAUGUGACCUUAACCAACAUCUCAACAGAGGAAUACUGGAGGGGGAGAAAGA